rnacentral:rRNA from 1 species
AUGGACCAAUCCAUCCCUUUUUCCCGUGCAUAUGCAUCAGAUUCGGAUGACGAUGGUCUCGAUGAAAAAGUUGAUGAGGAGGGGUUCACACCGAAGGAGGCCCAAGCAUUCAAGAAGGUAUUCGGGCGGGAUCACAAGACACCAUUGUUCAAGGAUCUUAGUCUCGCGGAUGAAGCCGUUGUGGAUGGUGGCAAAUGCAUAUCUCUUGGAGCUAGGCCAAGUUCUCAC